rnacentral:rRNA from 1 species
GGGUUGUGAGGUUAAGCGACUAAGCGUACACGGUGGAUGCCCUGGCAGUCAGAGGCGAUGAAGGGCGUGCUAAUCUGCGAUAAGCGCCGGUAAGGUGAUAUGAACCGUUAUAACCGGCGAUACCCGAAUGGGGAAACCCAGUGUGACUCGUCACACUAUCAUUAACUGAAUCCAUAGGUUAAUGAGGCGAACCGGGGGAACUGAAACAUCUAAGUACCCCGAGGAAAAGAAAUCAACCGAGAUUCCCCCAGUAGCGGCGAGCGAACGGGGAGGAGCCCAGAGCCUGAAUCAGCAUGUGUGUUAGUGGAAGCGUCUGGAAAGGCGCGCGAUACAGGGUGACAGCCCCGUACACAAAAGCGCAUGUGCUGUGAGCUCGAUGAGUAGGGCGGGACACGUGGUAUCCUGUCUGAAUAUGGGGGGACCAUCCUCCAAGGCUAAAUACUCCUGACUGACCGAUAGUGAACCAGUACCGUGAGGGAAAGGCGAAAAGAACCCCGGCGAGGGGAGUGAAAAAGAACCUGAAACCGUGUACGUACAAGCAGUGGGAGCCCCACCACUAAGCCAGUGGUGAACUCCACAUACGCAUCCUUUGCUGAGGAUACGGUUAACGGAGCGAAAGCGACGUUCAACCUCAAAAGAAGCAGAGGGGGCUUAGUGGUGGGGUGACUGCGUACCUUUUGUAUAAUGGGUCAGCGACUUAUAUUCUGUAGCAAGGUUAACCGUAUAGGGGAGCCGUAGGGAAACCGAGUCUUAACCGGGCGUUAAGUUGCAGGGUAUAGACCCGAAACCCGGUGAUCUAGCCAUGGGCAGGUUGAAGGUUGGGUAACACUAACUGGAGGACCGAACCGACUAAUGUUGAAAAAUUAGCGGAUGACCUGUGGCUGGGGGUGAAAGGCCAAUCAAACCGGGAGAUAGCUGGUUCUCCCCGAAAGCUAUUUAGGUAGCGCCUCGUGAAUUCAUCUCCGGGGGUAGAGCACUGUUUCGGCUAGGGGGCCAUCCCGGCUUACCAACCCGAUGCAAACUGCGAAUACCGGAGAAUGUUAUCACGGGAGACACACGGCGGGUGCUAACGUCCGUCGUGAAGAGGGAAACAACCCAGACCGCCAGCUAAGGUCCCAAAGUCAUGGUUAAGUGGGAAACGAUGUGGGAAGGCCCAGACAGCCAGGAUGUUGGCUUAGAAGCAGCCAUCAUUUAAAGAAAGCGUAAUAGCUCACUGGUCGAGUCGGCCUGCGCGGAAGAUGUAACGGGGCUAAACCAUGCACCGAAGCUGCGGCAGCGAACGUAUCACUUAAAGCGAUUCAGCGGAUGACGAUUGACGGAGCGAAGCGACGUCAAAGCGUAUACAAAGUCGAGUCGGUUUAAGGAUACGUUCGUUGGGUAGGGGAGCGUUCUGUAAGCCUGUGAAGGUGGCCUGUGAGGGUUGCUGGAGGUAUCAGAAGUGCGAAUGCUGACAUAAGUAACGAUAAAGCGGGUGAAAAGCCCGCUCGCCGGAAGACCAAGGGUUCCUGUCCAACGUUAAUCGGGGCAGGGUGAGUCGACCCCUAAGGCGAGGCCGAAAGGCGUAGUCGAUGGGAAACGGGUUAAUAUUCCCGUACUUGGUGUUACUGCGAAGGGGGGACGGAGAAGGCUAUGUUGGCCGGGCGACGGUUGUCCCGGUUUAAGCGUGUAGGUGUGUGUUCCAGGUAAAUCCGGUUCACUUUAACACUGAGGCGUGACGACGAGGCACUACGGUGCUGAAGCAACAAAUGCCCUGCUUCCAGGAAAAGCCUCUAAGCAUCAGGUAACAUCAAAUCGUACCCCAAACCGACACAGGUGGUCAGGUAGAGAAUACCAAGGCGCUUGAGAGAACUCGGGUGAAGGAACUAGGCAAAAUGGUGCCGUAACUUCGGGAGAAGGCACGCUGACACGUAGGUGAAGUGAUUUACUCAUGGAGCUGAAGUCAGUCGAAGAUACCAGCUGGCUGCAACUGUUUAUUAAAAACACAGCACUGUGCAAACACGAAAGUGGACGUAUACGGUGUGACGCCUGCCCGGUGCCGGAAGGUUAAUUGAUGGGGUCAGCGCAAGCGAAGCUCCUGAUCGAAGCCCCGGUAAACGGCGGCCGUAACUAUAACGGUCCUAAGGUAGCGAAAUUCCUUGUCGGGUAAGUUCCGACCUGCACGAAUGGCGUAAUGAUGGCCAGGCUGUCUCCACCCGAGACUCAGUGAAAUUGAACUCGCUGUGAAGAUGCAGUGUACCCGCGGCAAGACGGAAAGACCCCGUGAACCUUUACUAUAGCUUGACACUGAACAUUGAGCCUUGAUGUGUAGGAUAGGUGGGAGGCUUUGAAGCGUGGACGCCAGUCUGCGUGGAGCCGACCUUGAAAUACCACCCUUUAAUGUUUGAUGUUCUAACGUGGACCCGUUACCCGGGUUGCGGACAGUGUCUGGUGGGUAGUUUGACUGGGGCGGUCUCCUCCUAAAGAGUAACGGAGGAGCACGAAGGUUGGCUAAUCCUGGUCGGACAUCAGGAGGUUAGUGCAAUGGCAUAAGCCAGCUUGACUGCGAGCGUGACGGCGCGAGCAGGUGCGAAAGCAGGUCAUAGUGAUCCGGUGGUUCUGAAUGGAAGGGCCAUCGCUCAACGGAUAAAAGGUACUCCGGGGAUAACAGGCUGAUACCGCCCAAGAGUUCAUAUCGACGGCGGUGUUUGGCACCUCGAUGUCGGCUCAUCACAUCCUGGGGCUGAAGUAGGUCCCAAGGGUAUGGCUGUUCGCCAUUUAAAGUGGUACGCGAGCUGGGUUUAGAACGUCGUGAGACAGUUCGGUCCCUAUCUGCCGUGGGCGCUGGAGAACUGAGGGGGGCUGCUCCUAGUACGAGAGGACCGGAGUGGACGCAUCACUGGUGUUCGGGUUGUCAUGCCAAUGGCACUGCCCGGUAGCUAAAUGCGGAAGAGAUAAGUGCUGAAAGCAUCUAAGCACGAAACUUGCCCCGAGAUGAGUUCUCCCUGAGACUUUAGGUCUCCUGAAGGAACGUUGAAGACGACGACGUUGAUAGGCCGGGUGUGUAAGCGCAGCGAUGCGUUGAGCUAACCGGUACUAAUGAACCGUGAGGCUUAACCUUACAACGCCGAAG